rnacentral:rRNA from 1 species
UACGUAGGGUCCGAGCGUUGUCCGGAAUUACUGGGCGUAAAGAGCUCGUAGGUGGUUUGUCGCGUUGUUCGUGAAAACUCACAGCUCAACUGUGGGCGUGCGGGCGAUACGGGCAGACUGGAGUACUGCAGGGGAGACUGGAAUUCCUGGUGUAGCGGUGGAAUGCGUAGAUAUCGAGAGGAACACCUGCGGCGAAGGCGGGUUGCUGGGCUGACACUGACGCUGAACUGCGAAAGCUAGGGGAGCGAACGGG